UUCAGUCAAGGACAUGUUUUACUCUAAUAUCAUGAUUUUACAACAUUUACUGCAUUGUAUGAUGACCAGAUAAUGUUGUUUCAAAAAGUCAAACAAAAGAAACCUGUUUUAGAGCAUAACAUGAAACUGAUCUGUUUGCUGUCUCAGAAUACAUACUACACAACAGUCAUUAUCUGGGUUUAAAAAGGGUCUGUUCCUUGUCGCUUUUCACAUCUCUUUCUUUCUAAACUUUCCCAUCUCUACCCUAAGAAUAAUCAAAAUGAGUGAGACAUGAAAAAGAAUAUGAAAGAUGAAUUGAAAAUAAGAACCACAGUAUCGUAUCAUGCUCCACACCCCUCUUUGGUUGUUUAAUAUCUUGAGGGAAGGAGCUAUGGCUGUAGUGUAAAUUGUCCAGUAACAGAUAGAGUCACUGGAUGGAUAGAGGGGUCCUGGUCUGUCUCUCUAGAUAUUACAUCCCACUGAGGAGAACACCGUGUACUGUAGUAGUGGUGGUCUGCCUAGAGAUUGCCAUAAAUCUGCAGAUCGAUCCUCCCUCUCAUUUUUCACCUCACCUGAUGGACGGGAAUGUGAUGCUGGCAAGGGCAGACAUGGGAGAUGGCUGGAGGGGAUCAGCUCACACUAUUAGAAACCAAACCCUUGGAACAAUACUGAAGCCAGUGGAGCAAAUACUAGAAGAUUAGCAACCUAAGCUGCCCAUUUGAACAGCCAGCCCUCUGUCCUCUGAAAAGCACCCUUAAGCACAUCAAGGAAAGGAAAACCGGGGGUAAUAGCUUUGGGU